CACCAGCUACGGGCCCAGGGAGGCACGGGGUGUGGGGGGCGGGGGGAAGCAACCGUCAGGCAGGGCCUCCUUCCCCUGCCGCCCCCUGGAAGGAGGGCCAGAGGCCUUGGGACCACAGCGGGGUGAGCCGCAAAGCAGAAGGCCAUGCAGUCGGGAAAGACAGGGCGGGCGGCGCUGAGGGAGACGGUCUGGGUCCUAAGGAGGAGCCCAAGGAACCCUGGAAACUAGACAGAAUGAGGUGCAUGCACGUGUCCUCCUUGGGGACGGGCCCGGGGUUUUUGUCAGGGCCCCGUGGGGACCACGGCCCGAAACCACAACUGCCAUCCCGGAGCGCGGGUUGGCAAACUUUGGCCGGUGAGCGAGGCCUGGUCUUUACAUUUAUAAAUGGCUGAAAACAAUCACACUGAGAAUCCUAUAAAAUUCAAGUUUGAGUGUCCUAACUAAAGGCUUCCGGGGGCCCAGCGACACUCCCGUCCCCGUUCAUGGGCGCACUUCCUGUGCCUGUUUCAGGGCCCAGCAGCUGCGAUGAGAAGCCGGGACAGACUGCAGGGUCCACAGAGCCCCAGACACCUGCUGCCCGGCCUUCACGGCCAAGGAAAGGUCGGCCAAGCCCUGGCCCAGAGGCAAGACGGGGCUCAGAAAGAUUCUCCAGGCCUGCGGGAGACCAAGCAGCGAACUGCGGGAGGGGUCCUGGGCAGACCCCAGCACGACGCCCUGGGAUCGGGAGGGCUGUGACGGAGUCUCACUGCACGUUUUCCAAAAGCCCACAUCCAACGCAGAGAAAGGCCAGGAGGGAAUGUGUACACUCGUACGUGCAAAAGGGCAUCUGCACGCCGCCCGUGUGGGCCCUGGCCUCUCCGCCCCGGGGGCGGGGUGUCCAGUGCAGCCAGCAGGGGGCGCCCCGGCCAGCGCCUAGCCUCUGGUCCUCAGGCUCUCCCACUACACACAGCCGGCAGGUAAGCCCCGGGGGAAGUUGUGCCGCCCUUGCUUAGGGCACAGUCUGUGUGUGCGAGCGCCUUGGAAAUGGGGACGUGACUCGGCCCAUCUGUGCAAAGUACACACAAGGCGAUCAGUAAGUACCUGUCUGGCAACAGCGGGAGGGGAGACCCAGCAUGAGCCCCAAGCCCACCAACGUGCUCCCUGGCACUCUCCCGGGGCCGGGCUGCAGAGCAGGAAGGUCAAGGCUGGGGAAUGGGCCCAGGCCCCAGAGGGCAAAGACUCUCAGGAAUGUUCUGGGCCAGGAGGGAAUUUGGGGGAGGCCCAAAGGAGCCACAUCGAGCUCUGAUUAGAGGAAUCAUCCAGAAGGGCUUGUGCUCUGCCCGGAGGGUCCGAGUCCUGCCUCUGCACACGGUAUUUGGGGCCGUGGCUUCCCCCGGAGCUGUGCGUGAAGGCAGGACUGACGGACUCACCUCCUGCCCCAGCCCUGGCUCGGUGACGAUGCUCACCACUUAGGAAGAGUGGGCCACACACAGUGUAAGCUCCUGGUGAGGACACAGGUGUGGGCAAACCCCCAGGACCCCAGGGCCCCCCAGACGCUCAGAGGACAAGAGACCGCAGCGCGAGAAUGGGAGGGCUGAGCCCGAGAGCCCCCAGCCCGCCUCGGUGCCAGCCCGCCGUCUGCCCCCAUGGCUCCCUACCUCCGUGACAUCCAUGACCUUGAUGGCAGCCAGCUGCCCAGUCUUGACGUGCCGACCCUGUGGGACAGAAAGCCGGGCGUGGAGGCUCUGAGUCUGCGUCCAGGGACGGUGUGAUUCUGGGACAGGCCACGCCUUCUGGCUGUUUUCUGUCUUAGGAAGUGUCUCCGUGGUGACUGGACACUUCAUUAAUGGGUCAGUCACAGGGGAAGGCAGAGGCCUCCAAGAAGCACUAUGGAGCCUGGACUCCAAGCGCUAAGCUGGAUCAAGAUGAAGGGUCUCCUCCCCUAAAACAGCUUAGGGAGGCGAGGGAGAUUCACCUCUGCUCUGGACUUCCCACAGUUUGAAAAAUAGAGCAGGGAGUGAAAGGUUCUCUCCAGCCUUGGAUAGAGCUGGGGGAGGCCGGGGGAGGGGCUCUGCCUCUCCGACACCUUCUAUGCCCACUGCCUCAUGCGCCCCUCCCCCUGCCAGGAAGCCUUUCCCAGAAUCACCCCCUCCAAAGCUUUUUAUUAUUUUUGGCAGGAAAGAAUAGACAGAGUUGGGAUUUUAGGGAACUCGGGGAAACCCAGAAGGCUGACCGGCCUGUCGAUGGCCCAUCCCCGGCACUAAUGGGAAGUAACUUCUAGAGUAUGUCCCUGCCAUUCUCCCUCCUCCCCCCUCCUCCCUCUGACAUUCCUCCAGGAGCCAUCCCAGCCUUGGACCAGGGAGUUCAGGCUUCCUGGGGAAGGGGGGGGGGGGCAGCCCACGGAUCAUUCUUGUCCUCAGCAGUCAUCCAAGACCCCGAGCCCAGAGAAGCAGAACACAGGGCUACUAUUUCCACGGCAACGACCAGGCUAGCAAUGGGGGAAUGGGGGAGGGGUGCACCUUUCCCCAAAGCUUACAGGGUGGUCCCAGUGACCCAGGAAAUGCCCCUGAGAUGCAGAGACUGGUGGAAAGGCCUAGCAUCGUGUCAGGAGACACAGAAGGCGGGUGUGCGCCCUGGAGGCCCCAGCUCUGGGGAACAUCUAACAUGCCGCCUCCCCCUCCUAGUGGGACCCGUGGUCGGGCUGGGUGGGCCAGGCCAAAGCGACAGGCAACGGUCCGGGGCGGCCCGGAGGAGAAGGCCAGAGCUCUGGCUCCAGACCCGCUGCAGGCCGGCCCAGGAGCUCGAGAACACCACCUCCCCUCUGCGACAGGUCCUGGGGCUCGGCCGGCGCCAAGGCUGGGCCUCGCUGCGGUCUUGGAAGAAAAGCCAGAGCUGUGCUCGUGGCCUGAGCUCUGCUUUGCGUUCUCGGGUGAGCCCCGACAGACGCGCACGCGCACAGAUACGCACACGGAUGCACACGUGCACAGCUACACACAUGCACACAGACUCACGCAUACAUGCACAUGGACACACGCACACGCAGAUACGCAAAGAUACACACGUGCACACGCAGAUACACACAUGCACGCACAUGGAUACACACGUGAGCACGCAUGCACACUCUCGCCACUGCCCUCCUGUGCCCCUGCCCACACCCCGCCCGGAUCCAGACCUCCUCCUGCUGCACCCGGGACUCAUGGAGACUCCACGCACUGGCCAGCAAAAACACCCCACUUCCUGACCUUCCUUCCACUAUUUUCACCCUCCUUGCCUCUCCCAGGCCCUCCCUCCCCUCUCCCAGCCCCCGUCACCGCCCACAGCCCCAGACCUAGGGCCUGCCCCUGCCACCCGUCCCGAGGGCCCCAUGGAGGGGCCUCCCACUCCUGCCCCAUUAGAGCCUGACCUUGUACACCUGUCCGUACGUUCCAUUGCCGACCACUUCCACCAGCUCGAAGAUUCCAGCGGGGUCCUGCGGGGAGGGGGAAAGAACAAGUGUCGGGACUUCAGAACAGAGCGGGGAGAGAAGUAUCCGGUCAGAUGAGUGAGCAUGGGUGUAUUAGAGGGGGCUUCGGGGGACCGCAGACCCAGCUGUGGUUUUCGCGGAUUGGCUCAGAGGUCCUGCUCUACAGGAAAAGUCCGAAGAAGGGGAGAGAUGACAGCGGUGGGAGCCCACAGGCAGUGACAAACUGAGCGUCUGCGGCCUCCGAGCGUGCGCCUCUGGAGCUGGGGUCACCUGUAAACGAGGCAACGCCCAUCAAGAGCUUGAGACGGUGCCUGGCACAGAGUGCAUGUGUUCACAUAGGCUUUCUGGAGAACAAAAGAACCCUUGACCGCUCCUCCAUGGCCACCAGCAGCGAAACCUAACCUGGACGGGCCGGAUGGCGGGGAGACGCCAGCCCGAGGCUUCUGCAGGGCGUCCGCACUGGACGCCCCACUGUCCUCGCUUUCCCGGCAAGGGGACCUGAAGGCCUGGACACGCAGCGCCCUCCCUGUACAUCCCCUCAGAGCGCGCACCACCGCGCACCAAGACCGUGACUUUCCUCGCCUGGAAACUCCCGGAAGAAAGGGCCGGAACCCUCCCUGCUCAGCAGCGUGUCCAGCACCCAGCCCGGGCCCGGCACGCAGUAGCCCGAGAACAGCCCACACCUGCUCUGGGGAAGCCGUGAGGGAAGGUGCCGAGGGGCUCCCUCCGCGUGCUCCCCAGGGCACUGGGCUGACCUGGCCAAGCUCCAGCUGAAAUUAUCCAACAAAAACACGCCGACGACAAAACCACCUUGAUCAGGUCUAACAAAACAGUAGGCCCCGCAGGGAAGGGAGAAAGUGUCACUGCACAGGGACCGAUGGGAGCGGCUGGGAGCCUGGACCCGGUUCUCGUCUGCCUGCAGGCACCUAGCCCCCCCAAAAAGGCUCAGCCUCUCGGGGGCCUCUGAGCCCGGCCUGUUGGGCAGUCCUUUCUUACGUCUACUCCGCUCUUUCCGAGGCGGACGGACACAGAUGUGUCCGUCCGCCUCGGAACAGGGACUUGUGGUUGUGAAUUUUGGGGCGCUCCUCACCUAACAGGGAAGGACGGACGGUUUAAUUCUCUGAUCUCAGAUCCGAACCCGCCUCCUCCUCAGAUGUGUGGGAGAUGCUGGGGGAAGAAAGCAAUCCUUGGGGUCAGACGCAAUCUCCGGGCUCAGCUCUCCUGACCUGCAAACCAGGAUGGCACGGCGCACCUCCUGGGAAGGGCUUUCCAGAGAACGAAGCCGAGACCUGGCCUGUGACGGGCGUUGUGGUGCCCGGCCCCCUGCACAGAACAUGGACCAUUUCCACACCUGUUGCCCGUCCCUUCUUCCCUCCAGAUGGCCCCGUUUGUCUUCCUCUCAAUCCCGGGGCGUCCCCGCUCCCAGCUCAUGCCUUACCAUGCCUCUGUCCAUGGCCUGAGGUCACCUUCCUGACCUUCCUCUUGUGCCCAGAGCCGGCCUGGCCCCUGGGCUCACAGAGGAGUCCCAACACCUCAGGCUGGUAUUCAAAGUUGCCCCAUCGUUAACCAACCAAUAAAUAUUUUCUGAGUGAGUGUCUACACCCAUACUGGGCCUGCCUAGGCCCUAAUCCAGGGAAAUCUGUAAGGCAACUUUCUCUUCUUUCAUUUACCUGGUAAACAUUUAUCGAGCGCCAACUGGGUGACAACUCAAUUAGGCGCAAACAGAGCUCAACGAUACAUGAGAAACAUGGAAGAUCCAGGACGGACCUUGAGAUUUACAGGCCAAGUACCCCAAUGCAGACAGGUGGCGGUACAGGAUUUUAUGCUGAAAGAGCGAGUGAAGGCCCUCGAGGCAUCGAGAGGCUGCCAAGCAGAGUGGGAGGCCCUGGAGAGUAGCCUUCUAGGAGGUCUUGGGCAUCAGCUGUGUCCUGAGCAAAUAUUUAAGUGUUUGGGGCCUUGUCCUGCUCACACACACACAGAGGGGCUGGGACUGGGUGG